GCCUGGCCAUCGGCCCCUCCCUCAAGAAGCUCUCUGCCCGCUGCCUCUCUGCGUGCAGCGCUGGCCUACAGCGCAUGGCUCAUUCUGACUCCCUCAAUCUUCCCUAUUAACUGAGAUUGCAGGUUCAGAGCACAAACAUCGCCGCCUGUCACUGCCGUAGCACGUCAGCCAUCAGCUGGGAAUGGUCUAGUCUCCUUCAAUCCAUCAUGCAGGGUUUCCAAGACUCUCACUCCAAGACCGCUCAGUGGGCCCUUCCCCCACCCAGGCCCAUGGGAUCCACCCGCAGUUUCUUUCCAUGCGCACUAGAGCCUGUGAAACCAUAAUCCAAACAACCCUACGCUUUGGAGAGAAACAGGAAGAACGCCAAAGAACUCUAGAGCCAACCAUCCAUCGCACCUGCAUCAAGUGCCUCAGAGACACUGAGACAGGAUGGGGCUGUCACCUGAUAUCAUAGGAAGAGGUAGCCAGGCUCAUUUCUAUCUUCUAGAGGAAGAAUGACAUCUUUUAAUGGACUCCCUGAGAAAGCAGACAGCAGCCCUGCCUCAGAAACCCAGAGUAGGCUGUGGAUCCCACAGUUCUGGGACAGAUUCUUCCAGAGGCUCCAGCACCAUGCUCACUUGCACCCCAGCCUCCACCAUAGAAGAACUUUACAGGUGAAGUGAAGGAAGAGACCCUUCUCUGGAGCCACUUCCCUCAGGUGUUGGGCAGAUCAAAGCCAAGGCCUACAGCUGAGCAGCUGAACAGGAUGGGUGGUAGGUGUUUUGCAAUCCAAUCUCCAGGAUCCUGUGGGGGAACGCAGGCCCUGAUGGUUAGCACUGUCCAUUUGGUCACCUAGGAGACAGACGUCUCAGCAGGCUUGGGAAGGAUAGGCUAGAUGAGAGUGAGCAUUGCUGGUGGGAAGACCCAGCUUAACUGUCCAUGGUACCAUUCCGUGAGCUGGGGUCCUGGGAUGAAUAAAACGUGUG
rnacentral:lncRNA from 1 species